rnacentral:rRNA from 1 species
AUACUCCUGUCUUACAUAAGUUAGAUAGGGAAAGUUUUUCGGUGUAGGAUGAGGCUAUAUUGUAUCAGCUAGUUGGUGAGGUAAUGGCUCACCAAGGCUAUGACGCAUAACUGGUCUGAGAGGAUGAUCAGUCACACUGGAACUGAGACACGGUCCAGACUCCUACGGGAGGCAGCAGUAGGGAAUAUUGCUCAAUGGGGGAAACCCUGAAGCAGCAACGCCGCGUGGAGGAUGACACUUUUCGGAGCGUAAACUCCUUUUGUUAGGGAAGAAUAAUGACGGUACCUAACGAAUAAGCACCGGCUAACUCCGUGCCAGCAGCCGCGGUAAUACGGAGGGUGCAAGCGUUACUCGGAAUCACUGGGCGUAAAGGACGCGUAGGCGGAUUAUCAAGUCUCUUGUGAAAUCCUAUGGCUUAACCAUAGAACUGCUUGGGAAACUGAUAAUCUAGAGUGAGGGAGAGGCAGAUGGAAUUGGUGGUGUAGGGGUAAAAUCCGUAGAGAUCACCAGGAAUACCCAUUGCGAAGGCGAUCUGCUGGAACUCAACUGACGCUAAUGCGUGAAAGCGUGGGGAGCAAACAGGAUUAGAUACCCUGGUAGUCCACGCCCUAAACGAUGUAUACUAGUUGUUGCUAAGCUAGUCUUGGCAGUAAUGCACCUAACGGAUUAAGUAUACCGCCUGGGGAGUACGGUCGCAAGAUUAAAACUCAAAGGAAUAGACGGGGACCCGCACAAGCGGUGGAGCAUGUGGUUUAAUUCGAAGAUACGCGAAGAACCUUACCCGGACUUGAUAUCUAACAAAUCAUCCAGAGAUGGAAGAGUGUCUGCUUGCAGAAAUGUUAAGACAGGUGCUGCACGGCUGUCGUCAGCUCGUGUCGUGAGAUGUUGGGUUAAGUCCCGCAACGAGCGCAACCCACGUCAUUAGUUGCUAACAGUUCGGCUGAGCACUCUAAUGAGACUGCCUUCGUAAGGAGGAGGAAGGUGUGGACGACGUCAAGUCAUCAUGGCCCUUAUGUCCGGGGCGACACACGUGCUACAAUGGCAUAUACAAU